GGUGCGGAAGGCAGCAGCGGUAUCUCAG
rnacentral:SRP_RNA from 1 species